CAGUCGAGCGAGAACCGGGACUUCGGUCCCGGGGACAGCGGCGAACGGGUGCGUAACACGUGAGCAACCUUGCCCCGAAGACCGGGACAAGCCGGGGAAACCUGGUCUAAUACCGGAUGUCCUCACCGGAUCGCAUGGUCUGGUGAGGAAAUGGAUUCCGUUCGGGAUGGGCUCGCGGUCUAUCAGCUUGUUGGUGGGGUAACGGCCCACCAAGGCGACGACGGAUAGCUGGUCUGAGAGGACGAUCAGCCACACUGGGACUGAGACACGGCCAGACUCCUACGGGAGGCAGCAGUAGGAAUCUUGCGCAAUGGGGGAAACCCUGACGCAGCGACGCCGCGUGCGGGAUGAAGGCCUUCGGGUUGUAAACCGCUUUCAGCAGGGACGAAAUUGACGGUACCUGCGGAAGAAGGACCGGCCAACUACGUGCCAGCAGCCGCGGUAAUACGUAGGGUCCUAGCGUUGUCCGGAUUUAUUGGGCGUAAAGAGCUCGUAGGCGGUUCGGCAAGUCGGAUGUGAAAUCUCCACGCUUAACGUGGAGGGGCCAUUCGAAACUGCCGUGACUCGAGUCCGGUAGGGGAGUGCGGAAUUCCCGGUGUACGGUGAAAUGCGCAGAUAUCGGGAGGAACACCAGUGGGCGAAGGCGGCACUCUGGGACCGGAACUGACGCUGAGGAGCGAAAGCGUGGGAGCGAACAGGAUUAGGAUACCCUGGUUAGUCCACGCGUAAACGUUGGGCACUAGUGUGGGGCUCUAUCG
rnacentral:rRNA from 1 species